CCGAAACUCGAGAGUUUUGUCUAUCGGUCACUAUCACAGCACCCACAAACUAUAGUUAUGAGCUCCACAGAGAAAUAUACUAGAUUUACUUGGAGCGAUAUGGCCGUCGAAUCGCUCUUCGAGCUGUGGGAGGAUAAUUUGGAUGGGCUCCGAGGGGACCGCAAAAAUACGCAUAUCUAUAAAGAAAUUUCUGAAAAACUAAAGGACUUCGGGCCCAAUCACAUGGAAGUAAAAAACAAAAUGGAAACAUGGUAAAGAGGUACAGGUAAGAAGGGAGCUGGCCAAGGUGGAUCCGUCAAGGGGGAGACCCUCGUCAUGGGAGCACUUUGACCGAUUGGGUUACAUUCUUGAAACCACUAAUAGAGUUUAUGAUAAUCCUGCCGACAGCAAAGAGUUCUUAAAAUUCGCGGAGGCCAGUUGCGAUAUCGAGUGCUCAGAAGCAAGCAACUCUUCUUUUCCCACCGAAAAUUCCUUUGAGGAGUCCUCGGGCCCUCUAGCGAAAAAGAGUCGCUCUGACUUGACCGAGAGAUUGGUUGAGGCUGAGGAAAGAAAGGCCGCAGCAAUGGAAAAAAUGGCUGAGGACUCCGCAAAAUUCCAGAACCGCCUGCUGGAUAUCCUGGAAAGGCGUUAUAAAAAGUAAGAAGUCUUUGUUAUAUCUACAAUAAGAACUAUGCAUAUAAAUAAUAAAAACUAGGCAUAUAAGAAUUUUUCCGAAUU